GUUGCCAACGGGUAGAGCCGGGCACUCUGGCGGGACUGCCAUCGACAAGAUGGAGGAAGGUGGGGAUGACGUCAAGUCAGUCAUGGCCCUUAUGUCCAGGGCGACACACGUGCUACAAUGGCCGGCACAGCGGGAAGCGAGGCAGUGAUGCCAAGCGGAUACCCUUAAAGCCGGUACUCAGUUCGGAUUGAAGUCUGCAACUCGACUUCAUGAAGCUGGAAUCGCUAGUAAUCGCAGAUCAGCCAAGCUGCGGUGAAUACGUUCCCGGGCCUU
rnacentral:rRNA from 1 species